rnacentral:misc_RNA from 1 species
GGGAUUUAAGCUCCAAUGCUCAAUGCCCUUUCACUGAACUGGAGCUGGUCGCUGGACGCUGGACGCUGGGGUUUUUCUCCACCAGUUAUCAUGUGGUCUUUCCGACGAGCUGCUUUGCCUCUCAAGCUACAUGGUCCUUCUUGGUUUGGGCUGACCAGAGUGAUCUCAGCUAAAUCAGAUCUAAUGAGUUUUUCUGUGGGGGACAUAACUGGUACGUGCACACUUGAAAAUUUGAUACCUGGUAGGUGCAGUUCAUCAAAGGGGUUUGACCACACACUAUCUGUAGGUAAAAGAUACUUUCUGGGAAGUUGUGGUUACUGUUCACAGGCAGUUGCAAGUAGUGAGAAUGAUAAGAUCAAAGAUGGCUUUUUAGAGCUUGGGACAACUGCUAUGCCUGAUAUAAUUGAAGUGAGCAAUGCAGAGGAAGUAGAUGAGGAAGAAUUACUUCCUGAGCUGGAGUUUGUGGAUGAUGCUGAGAAAGGUGCUAGCAGUGAAAAGAAAAGCACAGGCUUGGAGUUGUUAAAUUCCAUUAUGGGAGUUCCAAGUGUUGCUAUUUCUGAUAUUCUUAAGAAGUGGGCUGAAGAAGGCAAUAAAUUGAGCCAAAAUGGGAUUUCAAUGAUCAUAGUUAGUUUGAAGAAGAGACGAAUGUAUUGGAAGGCAUUACAGUUCUCUGAGUGGCUGGAAAAAACUAAGCAAACUGAUCUUACUGAACGGGAUUAUGCCUGUCGCAUUGAUUUAAUUUACAGAGCACAAAACCUUGGGAAGGCAGAGCAGUUUGUGGACAAAAUCCCAGAGUCCUUCAAAGGUGAACUAUCGUACAGGACUCUAUUAGGAUGCUGUGUCCAUGCCCAGAAUAUGAGGAAAGCAAAGGCAGUGUUCAAGAAAAUGGGUGAGUUAAAGUUGCCAAUGAAUGUGGAUGCUUGCAAUCAGAUGAUCAUUCUGUAUAAGAGGCUUGAAAAGAAAAAAAUAGCUGAUAUCUUAUUGAUGAUGGAGCAGCAGGAUAUCAAGCCAUCUCUCCUCACAUACAAACUUCUUAUAGAUACCAAAGGUGAGUUCAAUGACAUUAUGGCGAUGGAGCAAUUGGUUGAGGAUAUGAAGGCUGAUGGUUUUGAACCUGACAUCAAUGCUCUAACUGUCAUGGCUAAGCACUACAUAAAGGGGGGGUUCAAACAUAAAGCUGAAACUGUUUUGAAAGAAAUAGAAGAAAGAAAACUUAAGGGAAUUAUUGGGGCCCGAAGAUCAUUGCUUCUCCUCUAUGCUUCUCUUGGCAGAGCUGAUAAGGUGGGAAAAUUUUGGAAGGACUGUGAAGCAGAUCCCAAGAUGCAGGAGUGUGUAGCUGCCAUAGAAGCCUGGGGCAAGUUGGGCAAAGUAGGGGAGGCAGAAGCAGUAUUUGAUAUGAUGCUUCAGAAAUGGGAGAGGAUCUCCUCCAGGCAUUACUCUUCACUUCUGAAAGUUUAUAUAGAUAAUAAGCAACUUACCAAGGGGAAAGAUUUGGUGAAACGGUUGGUUGAUGCUGGAUGCUGGAUUGGCCCAUUAACUUGCGAUGCGUUAGUGAAGUUCUAUAUUGAAGCUGGGGAUGUCGACAGAGCAAGCUCAAUUCUGCAGAAGACAGCUCACAGGGAGAAAAUGAGACCCUUGUUCACAUCUUUCAUAGCUAUAAUGGAGCAGUAUGCAAAGCGGGGUGAUGUACAUAAUACUGAGAUGUUGUUUCAGAGAAUGAAGGAGUUUGGAUACAUUGGACGUCUCAAGACAUUUGAGGUUUUGAUCCAGGCUUACAUCAAUGCAAAAGCUCCAGCCUAUGGAUUCCGAGAGAGGAUGAAGGCAGAUAAGGUACUCCCCAAUGCGACAUUUGGAAAAGUUUUGGCUCUAGCAGAUGCAUUCAGAAAGACUGCUGUAUCAGACAUAGUUUAAAUUCAAUGUAAUUAAUUACUAAUGGACAAUAAAUAGAUGUUAUUAAUACGGGCUAGGUAGAUCAGUUUGAGCCAAGGUUAAGUAUCAUUAAUACACUCAAAAGUGAAAUUAAAAUUUAAAUAAAAAUUCAAUACCAC